AAUGAACGCUGGCGGCAGGCCUAAAACAUGCAAGUCGAACGCCCUAGCAAUAGGGAGUGGCGCACGGGUGAGUAACAUGUGGGAAUAUGCCUUUUGGUACGGAACAACGUUUGGAAACGAACGCUAAUACCGUAUGGUCCCUCCGGGGUAAAGAUUUAUCGCCAAAAGAUUAGCCCGCACUAGAUUAGCUAGUUGGUAAGGUAAUGGCUUACCAAGGCGACGAUCUAUAGCUGUUCUGAGAGGGAGAUCAGCCACACUGGGACUGAGACACGGCCCAGACUCCUACGGGAGGCAGCAGUUAGGAAUAUUGGACAAUGGGCGCAAGCCUGAUCCAGCCAUGCCGCGUGAGUGAUGAAGGCCUUCGGGUUGUAAAGCUCUUUAGCCGACGAAUAUAAUGACUGUAGUCGGAGAAUAAGCCCCGGCUAACUUCGUGCCAGCAGCCGCAGUAACAC
rnacentral:rRNA from 1 species